rnacentral:rRNA from 1 species
UACGGAGGAUCCAAGCGUUAUCCGGAUUUAUUGGGUUUAAAGGGUGCGUAGGCGGCCUGUUAAGUCAGGGGUGAAAGACGGUAGCUCAACUAUCGCAGUGCCCUUGAUACUGACGGGCUUGAAUGAACUAGAGGUAGGCGGAAUGUGACAAGUAGCGGUGAAAUGCAUAGAUAUGUCACAGAACACCGAUUGCGAAGGCAGCUUACUAUGGUUUUAUUGACGCUGGGGCACGAAAGCGUGGGGAUCAAACAGG